rnacentral:piRNA from 1 species
GUUCAUGUCAGCACUAUUUGAAAUAGCCA